rnacentral:rRNA from 1 species
AACGAACGCUGGCGGCAUGCCUAACACAUGCAAGUCGAACGAGACCUUCGGGUCUAGUGGCGCACGGGUGCGUAACGCGUGGGAACCUGCCCUUAGGUUCGGAAUAACUCCCCGAAAGGGGUGCUAAUACCGGAUAAUGUCUUCGGACCAAAGAUUUAUCGCCUUUGGAUGGGCCCGCGUUGGAUUAGCUAGUUGGUAGGGUAAAAGCCUACCAAGGCGACGAUCCAUAGCUGGUCAGAGAGGAUGAUCAGCCACACUGGGACUGAGACACGGCCCAGACUCCUACGGGAGGCAGCAGUGGGGAAUAUUGGACAAUGGGCGAAAGCCUGAUCCAGCAAUGCCGCGUGAGUGAUGAAGGCCUUAGGGUUGUAAAGCUCUUUUACCCGGGAUGAUAAUGACAGUACCGGGAGAAUAAGCGCCGGCUAACUCCGUG